rnacentral:lncRNA from 1 species
CUUUUUCUCUGUAUCGUCUCCAAGCUCAGACACGACCCCUCCCAAAACCCUAGCAGCCGCUACCCCUCUCCUUCACUGUAAGCGCGGCGGCAACGAUGGCGGUGACCACCAGAAACAUACCCCUGAACCCCCAGACCAUUCCCUUCAUGAAUCCACAACCCUUUCUCCUCGAAUUGUUACCAAACGUCUCGAAUCUUCGCCUGAAGAAUCAGACCAAAACCUUAAUUCACCCAAUCAUUACCAAAAUCACACCAGUGAACCACCUGGCUCCCCUUGUUCCUAAAAUACCUUUAGUUUUGCUCGAAUCGUGCUAGAGCUGGCCGAAUGCUAAAUCGACUAAUGAAUCCUAACGAGACCAAGACUAGAAACCAUCUAAUUAGGAGAUCUUUAAGGUUGUUAAUCGACCUUAGGAACACUCGAUUAAGAUCCAUUUUGGCCUCAAAAGUUUGAGUCAAAGCUUCGAUGAGAACGAAGUUCAUUUGCUUUAUGAUUCCUAAGGUAUUCUUUAUAUUUUCCUUUUUAUUUUCCAUUAUUUUAUUGUUUACUGGUUUAGUUUUCAUUGUAGCUCAUCUUUUGUUCAUUAUUUUUCAUCAUUCUCCAUCAGACCUUUUAUUUGGUCCAGUUUCACCAUUGUUUUUUUGUUGUAAAUUGUCAUAUUUGGAAUCGAUUCAAAUAGUUUUAUUGAUUAGUUAAUUUUCUUGUAGCUCCUUGUUUUGUUCAAGGCUACCCAAAUCCCCUAUACCCCCUCCCAAUUUUUUUCAAUACUAUAUGGUCAAAUUCACCUGCCUAUUUGGUUUACUCUUGAUUUCUGUUCCUUCUUUGAGUGAUUUGAACUAGUCAAUGCUUAGUAAGUCUUCUGUAAAAAAUGUUUUUGUUCCCGUAAUUCUCGCUAUUAAUGUUAGUUCAAGGGGUUUUCAUAUGUGUUAUCUACCAUCUUGCAUAGGAAUUCUAGUUGGUUGUCAUUCAGGGAAUUUACAUUGUUCGUUUGUUCUAGUUUAGGUUCAAUAUAGAAUUGUAUUAGUUUAUUCCCUAAGUCAUUCAUUCCUUCAUCUUGGUUGAAAUAUUAUUUUCCCUGGUUUGAGUUCAAUUGUUAUUUGAGUUUAAUGAUUUUGAAUCUUAUUGUGGUUUUGUUUAAAGUCUGCAGACUGAUAAGUUAGACUUGAGCUUAAGUCCAAUUUAAGUUCAGUUUUUAAGUUAGACUCGAGUUUAAGAGCCCAACCCUUUAGUUGUUCCUGAUUCAUUGGGAGUUGAUCCUGGUUCUCUAAUUUAGAUAACUUUGGUUAUAGUUGGGGGUGCAGAGGUUUGAGGUAGUAGUUCAGGACUUUAGGAGGGUAAUUUUGAAAUUGAAACUUGGAGAAUUGAUUUAAUUGAGUGGUCUGUCCAGUAGGGUACUAAUGUGCCAUUUAAAAUAAUGCAUUUGUUUAAGAGUAGUGGGAAAGGCAUAAUUAUAUAUAAAAGAAAAAAGGGGUUGGAAAGUAAAAAGAUGGGGGGUAAUAAUGAAAAGCUAAAAGAUACACAUAGUAGAGAAAUAUAAAAGUUGGAAAGUAAAAAGAGGCAUGUGGUAAUAACAAUAGUUUUUUUUUACAAUUGUAAAAGGAAAAGGAGGGCAGGAAAAGGGGAUACGUGUUUAGAAGGACUUCUAAAAAUCUUGGGGGUCAGAAUUUGAGAGUAAAGGACAGAAUUUUGACAUCAGAAAGUCAGAGUUUAAGAGAGAAAUAUAGGCUGGUCUUUUAAUCUGAAAAAUUCAGCAGUUUGAGAAAACAAAACUGAAAAAGUGAGGUCUUUCUUUAUCACAGAGAAUAAGAACUGUUCCAUUGUUCAAAUGUUUCCUAGUUCACUUUAUUUCUCCCAGUGAUUUCAGUUUGGUAUUGCUGGGGUUUCAAGUAAUUUUUCCUGAGUGUGCUAUUGAAUAUUUGCUAUUGUUGCGUUAGUUUAUUCCUGGGUUUUUCACUGGUUGUUAUGGUAUGUUAGUUUUUGGGUUUAUUUCUACUGGUUGUUUUGCUAUUUUCUGUUGUUGGUUGCUCCUGUUGUUUGCUACUGAUCUGCUGAUCCUCACCUUCUUCUUCUAUUCUAUUACCAGGUACACUUUCGAAUCACUGUGAUGUAGUUGUUAAAAGUGAAUAGAAAUGCUCGAGUAGUCGAGUACUUAGGUUGUAUCUGUAGUUUAAUAGUCAAAUGAUAAGUAGUUGUAUAAUCUAUUUUUGUAAUUCAAUGAAGUAAGUGGACUGUGGAAUUUACAUUUGACUGGAACUGUUUCUUUUGUUCAUAAACUGCAAUGUGUAGUUAUUCGUUGUACAUUUCAUGUAGUUAUGUGAUUUGUAGAAUGAACAGAGUUAGUAAUCACUUAUUUCCAAUCAUGUCUUCAGCCUUUGUUUUUUUUAUUUGUACAAAAACAUAGGACUUACCAAUAGGCAAUCAAACAAGGUGGCCAUUAGUCCUAAAUCGCAUAUAGUUAACUCCUAGUCUUAUUCUUUCCAACACUGUUAGUUUAAACCACUUAGAGAAUGGUUAGUUCGUUUUAAUAUUUUUUCAAUCUUUUAUGCUACUUAAUUAUUUCAUCUUUAAUAAAUUCGCUUAUAGAGUAAGCCAUGAAACAAUCUGCCAUCUAGCAAGCUCGAGUGCAAUUUCCAUUCACCUUAGUCUUAUAACUAAUAAGAGGCCCGAGCUUGUAAACAUGUAAUUAAUUAGGACCUUUUCUCCUUUACUUUUAGAGAUGAACUUAAUACAAAAAAUGUAGUCACCUUAGGAUUGCCCUUUUAAAAUAAACAAGAUGAGCCUUGCCAAAUAAAACGCACAAGCUGCAGGGCCCUCUAUACGUAUUGAUGAAAUUAUAUAGAUUUUGGGACGGGCAAUUUAGCGAAUUUCACGUCAUUCCCCAAAUAAUAAAGCGUUAGUCUCUUUAGGCGCGUACUUUAAUAACAUUACCUCCCUAAGCUAGGGUACAUAUUUAUGUGACCCAAAUCCAAAUCUCAAGGAAUCGAGAUGUGUCAACAACCACGGGUACAUUGAUGUGACGUGGUUCGAGACGCGUUUUCAUGACGUUGCAAUUCUCUUUAAAAUAAUGAUAAUAAUAAAAGCGGUAAAGGGUUAAAAGUUGCACAUAGGUUUAACAUGAACUAAAAUAAGAUAAAUAAGCCGAAUAUGACAGUUGAGCGACCGUGCUAGAACCAUGGAACUCGAGAAUGCCUACACCUUCUCCCAGGUUAACAGAAUUCCUUAUCCGGAUUUCAGGUUCGCAGACUGUAAUACAGAGUCGAUAUUUUCCUUUAUUCGGGAUUCAACCGGUGACUUGGGAAACCAUAAAUCUACCAAGUGGCCACUCUGAUUCUUAAUUAUAAAUCCCAUUUAUAUUGUACUUUAAUCAGAAAAACUCCCUCUGCUCCAUGCGGGCGCAGGCCAAAAAGAGGUGUGACAACUCUGGUGACUCUGUCGGGGAUUUUUAACCUAGAACCACUGGUUCAGGGUUAGAAAUUCGAGCUUAUAAUAAAUAGUUGUAUUUGGAUUUAUUUAUUAUCUGAUUUUAUUAUGUGAUUGAGCUUAAAUAUUCAAAAACGAUGAUUUUACUGCUUUGAUAUUAUUUGAACUGUAUAUAUAAACUAUGCCGAAACCCCUCUCUUCUCUCGCCUGAGGAGUGCACGUAGGUCGUGACUUAUUUCUGUUAGUGUCAUUAUCCCAAAUAGAACGAGGGUUCGGUGGAGUUGCAAAACCGGCUGGCCUUUUGGUUACCGGGACGCAGCUCCCAGCCUCGGCUCGAGUUGUCUGCUCGGGUAAGCUAGAUCUAGAACAAAAAUCCAUGUUUGAAACCUAGUACGACAAAACUUCAUGUCAGAUCCCUAGAAGGAAAGUUUGUUUGCAUCACGUGCACUUGACUUAAGGGACUUAACACAGGGGUUGGGUCAAUCAAGGAAAAGCAACCUAAAGUGAAAAGACCAUCCUGGUAUAUCUUGUUUGAGUUAUUGCAUUUAUUUGUUCAGACUUGCAUGCAGACCAGCUUACGAAAAUUGGGAAUAUUAGAAAAUUGCGAAAAAGGGAGAGAAAUAGUAGUGUAAAGAUAACUACUUAUUUUCAAAAAAAACCAAGUAGGGUGGAAAAUUUGUCAAGUAUUUUAAAAAAACGGAAAAAGAAAGAAGGGUGUUUUAAAAAGAAAGGAGUCUUGUUCUAUUAAAAAUCAGGUUUGUGUUCUUUGCCCGAAAUACGCAUGUUUGAUUCUCACCGGAUGUGAGAUACGUAAGCAACCUUCAUCGGGUCCAACUUCUCAUUUUACAAAUAUCCAAAAUGUCAAAUAUUUAAAAAUCGGGUGAUGUCGUUUAUGUCAGAAAUAGCCGAAUGUUCCCAAAAGGGAUGUCAGAAGGCUGAUUUUGCAUAAACGGCCUCCUUUGGUCAUUUUCUGGGGGUCAACACAGCCUUAGAAUCUUCGUCCCCGAGGCGUUGAAAGGUCGUGUUCGAGAAACCAAGUCUUUCAUUUUGAUUUUGAAUAAAUAAUAGUUAGGUCCAUUUUGAGUCAAAUAAAUUUUGCUUUUUUCUUAAAACACCUCAAUAAUUGUGCAAAAUGAGCAUGGGUCCAAGUUUGCCGGUGAAAGUUAGGAGCAAGAUCCCUUUGGAAUUGCGCUUAUUGUGGGAUGAUUUGGAAAAGUCAGAGCAAGAUAAGAUCAAACUGCAUCUGGGGGGUCUCACAAAUUUCUUUAACUUCAGGUCAAGAGUUGACAUCAUAAAGGCUUUGGUUACGUUCUAGAACCCGGCCCACAAUGUAUUUCACUUCUCAGAUUUUGAACUCACCCAACUUUAGAAGUGGUAGCAGGUUAUAUAGACAUUACUGAGGGGCUAAGGCGUAAAUAUCUGAUUGCUCCAGGAGCCGUCAAUUCACACAAAUUCAUGGAACUGUUGAAGAUAAACAAGGGAAUCCUGUACUCCGAGUUGGAUAAGGGGUUUUCUACUCUAGAGUUCAUAAACCAGAGGUAUGGGCAUAUAGGAAGGUUCGACGAUCCAGAAAGUGGGGUUUGCAGCAGAGGAAAUCGGACAAAAUGGGAUGAACAUAGGCGGUACGCCUUCAUAGUGGCAUUCUUGGGCAUUGUGGUGUUUCCUAGGAAGGACAGAAAUAUUGACUUGAAGGUAGCUGGAGUGAUAAAAGUCUUGACUACCAACAACAAAAGCAUGCUUGCCACGAUGAUAUUGUCCGAGAUAUACCGAGCCAUCACAGCUUGUAAAGCCGGGGCAGAUUUCUUCGAGGGUUGCAAUUUGCUAUUACAAAUAUGGAUACUCGAGCAUUUGUUUCAUCAACCUCAGUAGAUGAGUUGUAUAUCGACACACAAAAUCCGAAUUGAAGAAUAUGCAAGAGGGUUUCAGGCUCAGAUUGCCGGAAGGGUUUGAAGACUGGGUAUCCUAUCUCCAUGAUGUCACUGCUCUACAAAUAUGUGGAUAUUGGGUUGGCUUCCUAUUGAAGAAAUUGUGUAUAUGACCGCCACGGGUCCUUACUUCCUUCUGAUGGGACUCCGAGGUAUUCAGCUUUAUGCAGCCUACCGGGUGAUGAGAAAAUUGGGAAGGUGUCAGGUGGUACACCCAGAUGAAGAUCUAAAUGUUUAUGCGGUUGAGGUUACCACCGAUGGCCAAUUUCAUGAAGAGUCCGCUCGUUGCAUAUGGAGUGAAUGCCAGUAUUUGUUAGUAAGUACUCGAGUGCGCAACCUAUCCAGAGUCAAAGUAUCACCUGCUUAUCUCACUUGGCAUAGAAAGAAGGGCAUUGUAGGAGAAGAACCAGAACAACCAACCAAAAAACCUCUCAUUCAAGGGUUCGUUAAGGCAUUAAAGAAACCGCAGGCUUGGUUGGAUGCAGAAUGCGAAUACAAGGCCCGCAUAGAGGAAUUGGAAAAGCAGGUUUAGGAUCUCUGAUUUGAAAGUAGUUUGCAAGCCACAACCGGUGAAGGAGACAGAAAGAAAUUAGCCCAAGAAAAUGACACUCUUAGGCUCCAAUCCGACGAGUCAGAAAGGACGCCGACAACCAAUAGAAAAGUCAGUCCAACGAAAGGCUAAUAGCGGGGUUGAGGAAGCAGGUCAUCGAAAGCCAAAAGUGUUUGGAAAAAUCAGAGGCUAGCAUAUCAAGAAUUCGGGCCAGAUGGGCAAAAGGUGCAGUAGCGCGGAAAAAGCACCUAUAGCAAGUGAGAAGGGAUUACGAAGUGAGCAUUGAAAUAUUAAGAGAAACAAAUUCCACUAUCAAAGAUCGGGUCUUUAAACAAGUGGAUAGGAAGCGCUGCUAUGAUUUAAUAGCAUGAAUGGUAGAAUAAAUGGAGAGGUUCCAAGAUCAACUUGCUGAUAACGUUCAAGUAAUGGGAGCAAAGAAUAAAAAAAUAGAGCAACUAAUUAUGGAAAGGGAUAGAAUCAUGGGUACAAUUGAAGAGAUAGGGCACUACAUCACCAUGAGGUGCCUAGCAUGUGAGGAAAUGCCCUGUGAUACCCUUUUUGCUUCAGUAAUGGGUUACGUCCACCAGAAUAUGAAAGAGUUCAAGAGUCUGCAAAGGGGUCUUGCACCAAAGCCCGCGGCAAGGCAGAACAAAUCCCGUGGGCACCAUAAUUUUGAGCUUUGAAGCACGCUUAGUUUAGUCUGUAUUUUCUAUAUUUUAGAGUCUACUUGUCCUUUGAAGUCUGUAUUUUCCUUUUUUUGCUUCAAAGGCUGUAGUGUGUUUCAAAUUUUCAUUUUUCAAAAAAUGUUUUGGACUUGUAAAUAGAAUGUUUUGAUAAUGGAAAGUGAAAAAUCCAAAAUGAUAUCUUUAUUUUUCACAAUUGUGGUGGAACUAUGCGCGGUCUGAUUCAUACGGGGACAUGAUACGUAGUCAAUCUACAGAAGAUUUGACCACCGCUAAAGAACAAAAAAUGAGAUAGUGAUUAAAAGAAAUAAAAAAGAGAGAAAACGAAAAAGAGAAAAAAAAAGAGAAAUAAUGGAGGGUUUCCGAAACACUAGAAAAAGUCUCAAUAAUAAGCUGGUAUGAUGCAUGUGGUCGGAGCAAAAACAUGUUAGAAAUGGUUAACUGUCUAAGAACAUUGCAUCCUCCAACGUGCGAUUGCAAUAUCUAUUAAAACUCUAACGCUGACAAGUUUGUUGAUUUUCCAAAUUACCAGUUAGUUUGUUAGAGCGUACUAGAACCAUACCAUUAUCAAACAAUAUCAAAAGGUCCUAUACCAGCAAGCAGGACUGGCUCAGAAAACAGUGUUGAGUUGGGAAAGACGGCAAAUCAGAUACAGAAGGAGGCAAUUGAAAAGAUGGAAAAAAUGAGAUUGGAGAUGAACGAAAUGCAGCUAGCCUUGGCCAGGGUACAAAAGGGGCACGAACCACCCGUUACUCCUACUCCACCAGGACACACGCCGGAAUACCCUUCCCCCGGCCCAUCAACAAGCUUCCCAAGCGAUCGCUACUAUCAGAGAAGAGAUGCCUAUGAUCCCCAAGCUCCACCGACCAAUCUGAAACGUCCUCCACCAAAUGUUCCUGUCUUUGUGGCACCUCCCCCAGCAAUGUUACAAAGAUCGUCUAGUGAGCCACUAUUCGAAGCUCACGACACCCAAUAUUACCCUUCUGAACCCACUUUUAAAGCUUCUAAGCCAUACACAUAUAAACCCCAUUUUGGGAUCCCUGAGGAAGCUGAGAAACCAUUUAAGAAUGCAGAACAGGAGGAAGUGAUUCGAAAAGUCAGAAGCCUGGAGCAAUCCUUCAUGAACAUGCACGGUUUAAGCAACCAAGUCAGUGUAGCCUACAAAGAUUUGUGCCCUUUCCUAGAUGUCCAGUUGCUCGCAUGGUUUAAAAUGCCCAUGUUUGACUUGUACGAGGGACAUGGCGACCAGAUGGCCCACCCCUGAGGUUUCUGCAGCAAAGUGAGAGGAGCUGGGGGAAGGAUGAAUUGUUGAUAGCCUAUUUCGGUCAAACCCUGGGCGGGUCCAUGCUGGAAUGGUACACGAACAGGAUCUCGACAGAUGGUAUACAUGGAUGAUUUGGCACAGGCAUUCAUUGGCCAUUUUCAGUAUAACCUUGAGAUAGUCCCCGAUCGUUUGUCAUUGUUGAAGCUGGAAAACCAGCCCGCAGAGAGCUUUAGAGUAUUUGGUUUCCUCUGGAGGGAAUAAGCAGCAAGAGUUGAUCCUCCGAUGAGGGAGAACGAAAUGAUAGACUACUUUUUGCAACAUUGGAACCGACAUACUUUGGUCAUCUAGUGACGUCCAUGGGUAAAUCGUUCAAUAAAGUGGUAAAUAUGGGAGCAUCAUUGUUGAAGCUGGAAAAGAAGUCCGUAGAUAGCGUUAGAGAAUUUUGCUUCCGCUGGAGGGAACAAGCAGCAAGAGUUGGUCCUCCUAUGAGGGAAAACAAAAUGGUAGACUACUUCUUGCAGACAUUGGAACCAACGUACUUUGGUCAUCUAGUGACGUCCUUGGGUAAAUCGUUCAAUGAAGUGGUAAAAAUGGGAGCCAUGAUUGAAGAAGGAUUGAAGUCUAACAAAAUCUUGAGUUAUUCUGCACUGAAAGCAACCACCCAGGCAAUACAAAGCGGUACUGGUGGUGUGUUGGGAAAGAAAAAUAAAGAAGAAGUUGCCACAGUUGAAGCUAGCACUUGGUCCAGGUCCAACAACCCCCUACCCUACUAUAACCGACCCAAAUCAUCUGUACACCCCAUAUUGCCCACCACAAUAUUACUAUCCACUACCACAACCACACUUUUUUGUCCACCAUGCCCAGACAUACACUCAGCCUCCGGCGCACCCGCAAUGGCAUGCCCCGGCUCCUCAAAAUACAUAUCCACCUCUACAAAACUCCUAUCCACCUCCAAGGGCUAACAGACCAGGAGCCAGAUUUUGCUCGAACCAAACCUUUAGAAAUGAGAAGGUGCAGAACAUAAGAACAUUCACCCAAUUGGGAGAAUCUUACACCUCUCUUUUCCAUAGGUUAAAACAGUUGGGAAUGUUGGCCCCAAUUGAUCCCAAAGUGCCAAACUCCCCUCCAAGAAACCUGGACCAUUCGGUUAGCUGCGAGUAUUAUUCAAGAAUGAUGGGGCACGAUACUAAAAAAUGUUGGAAGUUGAAAUAUGCGGUGCAGGAACUUAUUGAUAACUGUCAUAUUGAAGUACCCAUUACCAGCGCAUCAUGAAACAAAUAUGAUUGAACUAAUACACAAUGGGACAAAGCCUAAAAAGCCCUCGCAGACAGUCAUGAUGAUCCGUUCUACGGAAGCCAAGGUGAAAGAAAAGGAAGUUAGUGCAAAGUCAGCGGUUCAAUCAAAAGAGAUAUAUGAUAAGCUAGUGGUGUAAUGGGGAAAAGGCCGUCUGUUUCUACAAAAAAGCCAAGGUCAGUCAAGUUAAUAGUACUGGGGGCAUCAUCUGUGCCCUUGGUUGUUGUGAAGGGAGCCUACGUAAAAUCGGUGGUUCAAUUACCUGUGAUUGAUAGCAAAGCCAUGCCAUGGAAGUAUGAAAAGUUAGUGGUGACAUACAAAGGAAAGGAAAUAGAUGAAGAAAGUUUUGAGGCACAGGGAAUAACUCGGUUGGGACGUUGUUUUACUCUCGAAGACUUGAGAAAGACUAGGGUUACUAAAGACAAUCCAGUACUGGUCAAGAAGGUUGUUACGGAGGAGGAAGUGGAGGAAUUUCUGAAAAAGAUGAAAGUACAGGAUUACUCCAUUGUUGAAAAACUGAGAAAAACACUGGCACAUAUCUCGUUGUUAUCAUUACUGAUCCAUUCGGAUGAGCAUCGUCGGGCCUUGAUGAAGAUAUUGAAUGAAGCUCAUGUGCCUGACAAAAUUUCAGUAAAUCAUCUAGAGACAAUUGCCAACAAGAUCUUUGAGGUAAACAGGGUAACAUUCUCUGAUGAUGAAUUGCUCGUGGAGGGCACAAAACAUAAUAAGGCUCUCUACUUGACGGUCAAGUUUGAAGAUUUAGCGGUUACUCGGGCAUUGGUCGAUAGAGGGUCUAGUGCCAAUAUUUGUUUGUUGUCUAUGCUGAACAAGUUAAAAAUUGAUUAUGAUAGAAUCCACAAGAAUAGUUUUUGCAUACAAGGAUUUGACGGAGGUGGAUCAGACACAGUGGGGGAUACUAUACUCGAAUUGACCAUUAGCCCCAUCGAGUUUACUAUGGAGUUGCAGGUAUUGGAUGCUGCAGUAUCUUAUAAUCUUUUGUUGGGUCGACCAUGGAUCCACGUGGUCAAAGCAAUGCCUUCCACAUUGCAUCAAGUGGUCAAGUUUGAAUGGGACAGACAAGAGGUCGUGUCACAUGGGGAAGACCCCAGAUGCGCUGUAAGGGAUGCCAUCGUGACAUUUAUAGAGACUGAUGAUGAUAAGGGGCCGUGGGUUUAUCAGGUCUUUGACACGAUCCCGGUGAGCAAGGUGCCGGAGGCUAAAAGCAUUCCACUCCCCAAGGUAGUAGAUGCAACCGUCAUGGUAGUUUCAGAGAUGCUGAGUAAUGGAUUCGUGCCGGGGAAAGGUCUGGGGGCUGAGCUUCAAGGUAUUGUUCAACCUGUCUCUUUGCCAAAGAAUUUAAAUACCUUAAGGAUGGGUUUCAAGCCAACAAUAGCAGAUGUUAGAAGGCUCAUAAAAUGAAGAAGAAAGCUUGGGUUCUUCCUAAACCAAUUCCACGCCUGUCCAGUUCAUUCGUCAGGUCGGCUGCCAGAAAAUAGUCGUUGACAAAGGUGUCGAGUCCACUAAUUGGUACAGAGGGGAAUUUGAACAUGGUGUUUGAAAGGGUGUUUGCCGAAGUGAAUGUGGUUGACACUGGUGAAGGUUCGAGCAAUGCACACAUUUAGUACAUCGGGCCUAGGGCCAAUAUCAACAAUUGGACGGCUACUCCUCUUCCUAAUUGGAUGGAGUCCUGGUAGUAGCCUUUGGAUUUUUCUUUCUUGUUUUCUGGAUUAUUUCAAAGUUGUAAUCCAGUUCUUGUUUUACUUAUAUUCAAUAAAAGUGUGAAACUCUGUUAUCCCGCAUUUUAUUAAAACUGAAAGUUUUCUCUUUUUAUUUUGUUUUAAAUCUGUUCUCUUCUUUUCUUUUUCUGAAAAGUUCUCUUUGUAUUGGUUCUAAUGAUAUGGCAUACACAACGGAUCUUCAAUCCAGUCUAAAUAAUCAAUCUGAUUCUCAAUUAAUUGUACAAGAGGUCGAUUGUGAUGAUGAAUCAGAAUACGAUGAAGAUGAGUCCUUUGAAGAGAUAAAUAGAGAAUUAAGCCAGUUUGAAGAGAAAUAUAAGACCAAUUUAAAUGACACUAAAGUUGUCAGUUUAGGCGAUAUCGACAAUGUCAAGGAAACCAAAAUAAGCAUUCACAUUGAACCGAACAUCAGGGAGGAACUAAUAGAAUCGCUCAUUGAAUUCAAAGAUGUUUUUGCAUGGUCGUAUGAUGACAUGCCGGACUUAAGCACCGAUCUAGUGGUUCACAAAUUGCCCACUGAGCAUGCCCUCCCGUCAAGCAGAAACUAAGGAAGUUCAAAACAGAUAUGAGAGAAAAGAUUAAAGAAGAAAACCAAGACAUGCAAAGGUUAUUCGGGUCAGUCUAUAUCCUGAUUGGUUGGCUAAUGUGGUGCCAGUGCCGAAGAAAGAUGGGAAGAUCAGGGUAUGUGUCGAUUACCGCAAUCUGAACAUGGAGAUCCCAAAAAGAUAAAUUUCCAUUACCCAACAUCCAUAUUUUGAUCAAUAAAUGCGCUGGACGUGAGAUCAGGUCUUUUGUGGAUUGCUAUGCCGGGUAUCAUCAGAUUCUGAUGGAUGAAGAAGAUGCGGAAAAGAUGGCUUCCAUUACACUGUGGGGGACAUAUUGCUACCGGGUAAUGCCAUUUGGUUUGAAGAACGACGGGGCAACGUACAUGAGAGCAAUGACUACUAUGUUUCAUGACAUGAUACUCAAAGAGAUUGACGUGUACGUGGAUGAUGUGAUCACAAAAUCCAAGGGUUAGGAAGACCAUGUAGCAGACCUAAGGAAGUUUUUUCAAAGACUUCGAAGGUACGAUAUUAAGCUCAACUUGGCCAAAUGUGCAUUUGGUCUUCCAUAUGGAAAAAUAUUAGGAUUCAUUGUCAGUCGGCGAGGCAUUGAGUUGUACCCGUCAAAGAUCAAAUCCAUCCAAGAAUUUCCACCGUCGAAGAACAAAACAGAAGUGAUUAGUCUGUUGGGAAGGCUGAAUUAUAUUAGCAAGUUCGUCGCUCAAUUCACAACGACUUGUGAACCUAUUUUUUGUCUACUGAAGAAAGAUGUUGUGGUAGAAUGGAAGGUAGAAUGUCAGAAAGCCUUGAACCAAAUUAAGGGGUAUCUAUCAAACCCACCUGUGUUGGUCCCACAUGAACCAAGAAGACCAUUGAUUCUUUAUCUAACGGUACUGGAGAGUUCAUUUGGUUUCGUACUAGGGAAACAUGAUAUCACAGGUAGGAAGGAGCAAGCCAUCUAUUAUCUCAGUAAGAAGUUACGAUCUAUGAGGUUAAGUACACUCAACUUGAGAAGACAUGUUGCGCCCUGACUUGGGUGGCACAUAAAUUUAAACAUUAUCUGUCGUCAUAUACUACUUACCUCAUUUCACGCCUGGAUCCAUUGAAGUAUAUUUUCCAGAAGCCUAUGCCCACAGAGAGAUUGGCGAAAUGGCAGAUAUUACUCACAGAGUUCGACAUCGUCUAUGUGACGAGGACGGCCAUGCAAGCCCAAGCAUUGACUGAUCACUUGGCUGAGAAUCCUGUUGAUGAAGAAUACGAGCCAUUGAGGACUUACUUUUCGGAUGAAGAAGUGAUGCAUAUAGAUGAGUUGGAAUUAUCUGAGGAACUAGGUUGGAAGCUCUUCUUUUGAUGGAGCUGCAAAUGCGAAGGGAGUUGGAAUAGGAGCGGUACUUAUUUCUAAAACAUGACAUCAUUAUCCUGUUACGGCUCAACUACAUUUCUAUUGUACCAACAACAUGGCUGAAUAUGAGGCAUGCAUAUUGGGUUACGGUUAGCUGCAGACAUGGAUGUCCAAGACGUCUUCGUCUUGGGAGACUCGCACCUCCUGGUGCAUCAGUUCCAAGGUAAAUGGGAGCCACGGGAUUUGAAACUUAUACAAUAUUGACAAUGUUUACAUGAUCCCAUCAAGUUAUUUCGAUCAGAGGAGUUCAGACACACCCCAAGAGUUCACAAUGAGGUUGUCGAUGCUGUGACCACUUUAGCAUCGAUGUUGAACCACCCAGACAAGAUUCAUGUUGACCCGUUGCAUAUUUAGUUUCGUGACCAGCAUGCUUGUUGCAACAUGAUAGAGGAAGAAAUGGAUGGCGAGCCAUGGUUUUAUAAUGUUAAGGAGUACCUCGGGAUGUAGAUACACCCGGAGCAGGCCACCAGAGAUCUAAAGAGGGCCAUUCGGCGAUUGGCAAAUGGACUUUUCCUCAGUGGAGGAUUGGUGUACAAAGAACCCCAGAUUUGGGAUUGCUGAGAUAUAUAGAUGCUGGUGAGGCCACGACAGUGAUGACGGAGGUACAUGCUGGAGUUUGUGGGCCACAUAUUAACGGAUAUGUAUUGGAAAAGAAGAUUCUUCGAGCAGGGUAUUAUUGGCUCACCAUGGAGUGUGAUUAUAUCAGUUUUGUGCGAAAAUGCCAUUAGUGUCAGAUACACGGAUAUCUGAUUCAUUCUCUACCGUCAGAAUUGCAUACAAUGUCAGUGCCAUGGCCAUUUGUUGCAUGGGACAUGGAUGUCAUUGGACCUAUUAAACCAGCAUCUCCCAACCGUCAUAGGUUCAUUCUGGUGGCCAUCGACUAUUUAACUAAGUGGGUUGAAGCUAAAACUUUCAAAUCAGUAACAAAGAAGGCAUUGGUGGAUUUUGUCCAUUCCCAUAUCAUCUGCAGAUUUGGGAUCCCAAAGGUUUUCAUAAGGAACAUUGGUGCUAAUCUUAACAGCAGUUUGAUGAAAGAAGUAUGUCAACAGUUCAAGAUUACACACCGUAAUUCCAACCCGUAUCGGCCCAAGGAGAAUGGAGCAGUUGAGGCAGCCAACAAAAACAUAAAGAAGAUAUUGAGAAAGAUGGUAGAAGAGUCCAGAAAGUGGCAUGAAUAGCUACCAUUUGCAUUGUUGGGUUAUCGCACUACUAUUCGUACUUCAGUAGGGGCAACUCCUUAUUUAUUGGUAUACAGAACUGAAGCAGUGAUACCAGCAGAGGCAGAAAUUCCAUCCCUCCGGAUUGUAGUUGAGGCUAGGAUUAAUGAUGAAGAAUGGGUCAAAGACCGACUGGAGCAACUAAGCUUAAUUGAUGAAAAGAGAUUGGCAGCAGUGUGAUGGCCACUUGUAUGAAAAGACAAUGAUAAGAGCAUACAACAAGAAGGUGCAUCCCAGGAAAUUUGAAGUGGGACAGCAGGUGAUGAAACGAAUCCUACCACAUCAGGCCGAAGCGAAGGGCAAGUUCGCCCCAAACUGGUAAGGACCAUUUAUUGUAACCAUAGUAUUAUCCAAUGGCGCUUUAUGUCUGACAGAUGUCGAGAGAAGAUGCGUCGACAUGGCUAUCAAUUCUAACGCAGUCAAGAGAUAUUAUGUGUAAUUUCUUUGGUUGUAAUUGUUGUUUGUUGUUUUUUUUGUUUGUACUUGGCAUUUAUCAGAGAAUGAAAUGAUGGAGGCAAUUCUUUCUUCUAUCCAAACACUGUAACAUUUCCUUUCCCCUUUGAGCCUCAUUUAUUCUUUCAUACCCCUCUAUUAUAAUCACUAAUGAAAAUGAAAAGAAAAAGAAAGAAAAAUGAUAACAAAAACAAAAAGGAAAGUCAUAAGAAAUACAAAGGAAUCAAGUGAACUACGUUCGACCUGAUUCAUCAAAGAGGAUACGUAGGCGCCUCACGGCUCAGUCAAAGUAUAAGAAAAAUAAAAAAUUCCCCAAGCAAGAAAACUGGGGCAGAAGUUAUCUUUUAAAUUUUGGGAAAGAGGUUUGAUUUCAAGAGUUGUAAUGUUUCACCCAUUCAAAGUUAUUUUGAAUUUUUUGAUAGCCUCUUCUUUUUUAGACCCACACAAAAACCCACAUGUGAUGUCCAAAAAGACCUCUCGACCAGUAUCCGAGAGGUGCCAAGUUAAGCAAAUGAAAGCCAAGAAUAAUACACUGAUCCCCAAUCGAAUAAGGAUCAUGAGCUGAAGGAAUUGAUAGCCAAAAGAUUCCCCAGUAGAGAGAAUCUUAUCAGCAACACUGCAAUCCCAAGCUAAGGAAAUAAAAUGAUAGAGUCUUAUCGGUGAAAACCUUCACGGGCACCAUAAGGCGACGAAGGCUGAGAAAAAUAAAAUGAGAGAGUCUUAUAGUGAAAACCUUCACGGGAACCAUUAUGAGACAUGGGCUGAGAGAAAUGAGAGAGUCUUAUUAGUGAAAACCCCUCGAAGGUCACUAUGAGGCGAAAAGAUAAGAUUGGUGCAAAGGAUCCGCAUUCGGCAAAGAAUUGGGUAUCUGUUUAUCCCCAGCAAAAUGAGGCCAUCAAAAAGAUUUUGAUACAAAUAGACUGGGUUGGUUAAUUCGGAAUGCACGACGUGAUCGUUAGGAUCGGUUAUACCAUUAAGAUAAGUUCUUUCUCUUUUCUUUUCCUCAGCAUCUAUUCAGAAACACUUCAUCUUUUUAUAUCUUGUGAAUUCAUCAUUUUUCACUUCUUUGUUUAAAGAGUUUUUCCAAGCAGUUUGUUUUUUAGAAAGAAUUUCUUUUCAUAGCUUACUAUCAGUUGCCGAUAAUAGUGCAAAGCAAAAUGUGAAUAGGACAUGCCAAAGAUAAGGAGACAAAGCAAAAAGGAAGUUUGUCGCAAGACCAAAUAAUGAAUUGGUCUAUACUCCAAGAGGACCAAAUAUUCAGGGGAAGUUGGAGAAAAACAGAAAAACAACAGUUGAGAAAAUUAUGGACCAAAUUCCAAAUGGAUCCCUAGCAGAUUUUCGAGAUCCAGGUACAACUCUAAUAGAUUGUCGAACAAGUUCCGAGAUGGUCGGACAACACACAGCAGGGAAGGGAGAAAGGGAAAAAUGAUGCCCGAAAGGAAUAUCAUCCCCAAUAAGUUUUGGGAACACAGAGUAGGGAAAGGGGGAUAGGGAAAAAACCAUCUUCAGUAGGAGUGGCACGACCACUCAGCAUGUUUUGAACUAAAAAAAAUUUCUUUAAUUUGAAAUAGGGAAAUUAAAUGUUGUUGAUGGCAGAAAGACAUACCACAAGGAAGAUCACCAAAACAGGGGCAGAAAAUUUUCUGCCAUUUUUGAAAAUUUUCUCGGAGGAAUGAGGAAAUCAAAUCAAGUUGUAAGGAAAAAGCAAUAUAACACAAGUUUGAUAGAAGUUGAAGUCAGGAGCUCUCCUGGAAAAUGGAGGCUGAAUUAUCUUUCAGCUGUUGUUGAAGUCAGGAGCCCGCCUGAAGAAUGGAGGCUGAAUUAUCUUUAAGUUACUGUUUGAUGUCAGGAACCCACCUGGAAAAUGGAGGUUGGAUUAUUAUUUUUUUUAAAAAGUCGAUGAACUCAGGAGCUCGCCUGUAGAACGGAGGUUGUUAUAUUUUUAGUUGAAGAAGUCAGGAGCUUGCCUGUAGAACGAAGGUUUGAUAUAUUUUGAAGUUGAAGAGGUUAGGAGCCCACCUGUAGAACGGAGGUUGUUAUUAUUUUAAGUUGAAGACGUCAGGAGCCCGCCUGUAGAACAGAAGUUAUUUUUAUUUUAAGUUUAAGAAGUCAGGAGCCCGCCUGUAGAACGGAGGUUGUUAUUAUUUUAAAUUGAAGAUGUCACGAGCCCGCCUGUAGAACGGAGGUCCUUAUAUUUUGAAGUUAAAGAAGUCAGGAGCCCGCCUGUAGAACGGAAUUUAUUUUUAUUUUAAGUUUAAGAAGUCAGGAGCCCGCCUGUAGAAUCCCAUUGUAGAAAUCAGAAAGAAGAACAACAAGAUACAAAGACGAAAAUAGAUAAGAUUUUGUAAUUCCUAGUUUAGUCUAGCUUCUUUCUUUUCUUUUAUAAAUGAUGUAAUAAGGAGAUCGAAAAGCAGUAUCAACAUCAUGCAGUAGCAAUAACAACAAAAAUGCAGUCCCAUGGUAGUCCCAGCUACCAAAACUUCUCAAACUAUAUUAACCUGAUUCCCUUUUAGCCAGGGAAAUGUAGGAAACUUUGAAGCAAAGGUUUAGUUAAAUCGUUUUCAAAAAUGCUUCACACGGAGUAUUCCAACGGGCAAAAAUCACUCGCAUUCGCUCACUUUAUCUUUGCACGAAAACUCUUCGUGUUUCCAGAUAAAGAGGAGCAUCUGUGAGCACGCUAGUUUUUCCCUAUAUGAGAAUUACUCCCAAAAAUUCAAAAUAAAAUAGCUUUGUGCUGUUUGCAAUUUUCCUGGAUUUCGUGUUAUUUUUAUCUUGUUGUUUGCAGUUGUGUGUGCAUGUUUAUUUGUUUAAAUCAGUGAAAAUACAAAAAAUAUGUCGCAUUUGCAUUUAGAAUUUAACUGUAAAAAUUUGAGUAAUUAAGUGUUCCUUACAAAAAUGAGAAAACCACAAAAAAUAUUGUAAAAUUUGCAUUUUUAGCAUUUAAAGUCAAAUUGUGUGAUUUUACUUUAAAUUGGUAUUAAUUAUGUGUGAUAAUUGUUAUUAGAGGUUAAUUAGUAAUUUAGUUAAUUUUUUAUUUUAUCAUUAUUAAGUUCGAAUUUUGGUUUUAUUAAUUAGAAAUUAAGGAAAUGAAAAUAAAGAGAAAACUCGGAACUGGGCUGUCCCAAACAGCCCUUGAAUCAGGCCCAAAAUGUUUUAACCCGGUCCAAUUGACCAGACCUCUCAGAUGUCCAAAACGACGUCAUGCCAUGGCCAAGAGAUCUCAACAGUUGGAUCUCACAUAUCCAACGACUGAAAUCAUCUCUCCAACCCCGACCCGAUUUUCCCGGACCGACCCAGUACCCCUACUAAAUCAAAAAACCCCGUUUUAUGUAAGUAAGUUGAUCCAAGCCGUUGAUCUAAAUUGAUCCAAUGAUUUGGAUUCACUAUCCUAACUGGAAUAUAUUCCUAAAUCCUAUCCCACCCCCUUCAAACGAACCCCCAUUUUUCUCUGUAUCGUCUCCAAGCUCAAAGACGACCCCUCCCCAAACCCUAGCAGCCGCCACCCCUACCUUUAGCCAUAAAACCGACAGCAACGAUGACGUGACCACCAAAAAUGCACCCCUGAACCCCCAGGUCAUCCCCUUCAUGAAUCCACAACCCUUUCUCCUCGAAUCGUUACCAAACGUCUCGAAUCUUCACCUGAAGAAUCAGACCAAAACCUUAGUUCACCCAAUCAUUACCUAAAUCACACCAGUGAACCACCUGGCCCCCCUCAUUCCUAAAACACCCUUAGUUUGGCUUGAAUUGUGCUAGAGCUAGCCGAAUCCUAAAUUGACUACAGAACCCUAACGGGAUGGAACCCGUCCAAUUAGGAUAUCUUUGAGGUUGUUAAUCGACCUUAGGAACACUCGAUUAAGAUCCAUUUUGG